AUUGAACGCUGGCGGCAGGCCUAACACAUGCAAGUCGAACGGCAGCACAGUAAGAUCUUCCUCUUACGGAUUGCCAGUCGCGGACGUGUUAGAUCUACAUCUGUCUCUACUUUUUCGUUCGCCCGAACGUAGGCAAACUUACACUAAUAACGCAUACGACCUACAGAUGAAAGCCUUGCAUCUCCCGCCCUUGCGCGAUUGAAUGAGCCGAUGUCGGAUUAGCUAGUUGUAGGGGUAAAGGCCUACCAAGGCGACGAUCCGUAGCUGGUCUGAGAGGAUGAUCAGCCACACUGGAACUGAGACACGGUCCAGACUCCUACGGGAGGCAGCAGUGGGGAAUAUUGGACAAUGGGCGAAAGCCUGAUCCAGCCAUGCCGCGUGUGUGAAGAAGGCCUUCGGGUUGUAAAGCACUUUUGUUGGGAAAGAAAAGCAGGAGGUUAAUACCGUGGUGUGAUGACGGUACCGAAAGAAUAAGCACCGGCUAACUUCGUG
rnacentral:rRNA from 1 species